CUCACUCACUCGGCUAAGUGACAAACAGGAAGUUGGGCUAAGAGAGCUGAGGCCCAGAUGAACGCUCUCUCAUAAACUGAGGCUUAUAACCUUAUAAGGCCACGGUUUACUGAAACUGUUAGAAAAUUCUCGAUGUGUUGUUCAUCUUUCUAAAGCUGAAGGAUUCUGAUGACUUCAGCUGGGCUUAACUGCUCAUCACAGCAUCCAACGUUAUAGACUGACCAUUGAUGAACUCCAUUUUUGAUGACAUCUGGCUCCGGUUCCUUUGAGCCCAUGAACUAGGAAGCCAUAAUGGCAAAACUGAAAGAAGAGCUCUGGAAAACCCUGCGGGACCUGAAAGAAGAGGAGUUUGAGAAUUUCAAGUGGUUUCUCAAGGAUGAUGGAAUCUUGGAGGGCUUGUCAGGCAUCCCAGUGGCUCAGCUGGAGAAGGCAAAAAGGCAGGACACGGUGGAUCUAAUGGUACAGAAAUAUCCAGGUCCUGGAGCUCUGAAGGUAACCUUGAAGAUUUUAGAAAACAUCCACAGGAAUGAUCUGGUGCAGCGCCUUCAAAACCUCUGCUUAGGACCAAAAUGUAAGUUGGGGUAAAGUUCUGAUACGCAGAAGUGUCACAUUCAUCUUAUAAAUUAUUGCAUGAGUUAUGAACAUUCUGUCAGAAGAAGUAU